rnacentral:lncRNA from 1 species
GAGACAUAUUAGUAUGCAUCGGAUAUAUUACCUUAUGAUAGCGUAGAUGUACAUCACCAUGACAUCAUGCUUAUUGGAGACUUAGUAGUAUAGCAUUUCAUUCAUGCUUUCUUUCAGCAGUUUUCGUGUUCACUAUUUAUUACAUAUUACUUUAUGUUGUUACUUACCCUUUUCUUUUGGGGCCUAGUGGUGCAUUGAGCUGAGGUCAGUAAUUGCCCACUGGGAACUAU